CCCUGGUGGUUCAGACAGUAAAGAAAUCUGCCUGCAGUGCAGAAGACCCGGGUUCAAUCCCCAGGUCAGGAA
rnacentral:tRNA from 1 species